rnacentral:rRNA from 1 species
UACGGGGGGGGCAAGCGGUUGUUCGGAAUUACUGGGCGUAAAGGGCUCGUAGGCGGCCAACUAAGUCGGGACGUGAAAUCCCUCGGCUUAACCGGGGAACUGCUUCCGAUACUGGAUGGCUUGAGGUUGGGAGAGGGAUGCGGAAUUCCGAGGUGUAGCGGUGAAAUGGCGUAGAUAUCUGGAGGAACACCGGUGGCGAAGGCGGCGACGCUGGACCUCUUCUGACGCUGAGGCGCGAAAGCCAGGGGAGCAAACGGGAGUU